rnacentral:rRNA from 1 species
GCGGGUAGCGAAGACCAGCAGAAGGACGGAAGGAGAGAAGGAGGAGGAGCGGUAGGAAGAGGAGAGCGGUAAAGGAGGCGGCUUAGCGGCGGCGGGUUUAGGUGGCGUCGUUUGGGGAGAGGGGUCCACAAGCAGCGCGUUAGGUCUCGAGAGGCGUGCUUCUAAGGCGGCUCGUCCGGCGCCAGCGGGCCAAGAGGGCGACAUAACGACGCCGGUCGCCGGACUUAGAGCUCGGGCUCGUCGAGCGCCUCCGCCCCGAGGGCCGCGCCGCAGGGGAAACUCGCAGAGACGCUCAGCCGCCGGGCUUAGGCGACGACCUCCCUCGGGCCGCCGACGCCCUCGAGCGCGAAGUCCUAUUCUAGCCACGUCCCUAACCUCCCCCGAGCGACCAAUCCCGGGCCGGUACCGCGACAAGGCGUUCAAGAAGAAGUCCUUCGGCGGGCUGCCCCACGAGGAGUAGUGCCUGUUGUAGAUGCAAAAGCUAGUAACGAAGAGGAACUUACGUGGCCUCCUCCUGGUCAAGCUCCGUGUGUGGUCCCCGUAGCGUCGUGUAGAAGAUCUUCUAAAAGUACUAGUGAGCAAGUACCAGCGCUUAAAGCCCUGUGCCAGUCUUCUUUCGGCGAAUAUGGUGUAAAACAGGCUCAUACCGUACUGACAAAACCUGAUGGGCCCGGUGAUACUCCCCACAGGUGAAGAGUGGUAGCUUUACCACGUGACGUAGAACUUCAGGUUGCUUUCGACCGAGAGAGACCCGGUCGUAUUGAACGAGUAUUACGUGACGCUUGUUCCCACGACCGGAUAGGACCGAAAGUACGAUCGACGAGAGAACAACAUGGACCCCGUCAUAAGUCUACUCGUCUUUUGUGACCUAUACGAGAUGUUUGUUAGUAGAAGCCUCAAGAACCUCUACAAAAGUGGAGAUUUAGGGUACGGAAGAGUUUAAUCUAUGAACGCCAUAUAAAGCUACUCCUUACAGUACGGACUCACCGGAGGGCGACUAUCUCGGGAGUGUGACCUAACAGACUGAAACUCCUACGAAGGACUAAAGGUUUCAGUUCCACCAAAAACAGGCUAUAAGUCCUAUAUACCAGGUCUAGGUGAGUACGGAGUACUAGUCUGAGGGUUUCAAGAAAAAAGUUGGGGGUUUUGUUCAUUAGAACAGGCAAAAUUAAGUGUCCGUCUACUUGCCCACUUGUAUUUGGAAGUUACAGUACAGGUUCCACUACAACAGUAUCUCACAUCGUUGAACAUACUACUAGAUCUAGCGCUCCUCUACCAUAAGGCCUAGUACAAGUUGUGCCGAAAGUAGUCCAGUUUGUAGAACUACGAGUCGGCACUACUUUAUCUGUACGAUACCUUACGUUUUCUAGUUAAGGGAUUUCUAAAAGCUCGACUCCAAUAGAAAAGACUGUACCUACGUUGAUGAAGCGAACAAUGCUGUCUCGGAAACUCAGUAGUUCUAUUUGUUCCUGAACCACAACUUCUCAAACGAUUUCACGAUCUAUAGAAGUUGGUAAACCUGACCAACCUACCCCUAUACCUAUGACGUGACCUGUGUGGGGUCUUUUCCAAGGUCCAAUGAAGGGUUCCUUUAUAAUCACGUAGAGGAGGACUACUCGGACUUUGAAAAAAACUAUGAGUUCUUCUUGAACCGAAACUAUUAAAGAGACCACUUUAGUUGAGAAGACGAGCACACGACUUCGAAGUUUUAGUGAAACCAUACGAACCGUCGUGACUUGAAUUUGUUCCGGGGGGUGUAAGUUCAGGUUGCCUUCAAGGUAGGUUUGGUGUAUCUUAUCUAAACCUAGGAAGUGCUUGUCUCGGAGGAAGCCACAACAAACGUGGUAGUCUCCAAUGUUUCGGUUUCCGAUCACAAAGUAGUCAUCGUGGUAGAAGUCAAUGUCAAUGCGGGGUCGGACAUAAAAGUGGUCAAGUUGGCGUCGGUGACGGUAGACUAAGACGACACGUUUAAAGUAGUCUCCGUAGUCGCUGUUGUAGACAUCCCUUCGGACCAAGUGUUUGAGGUUAUGUCGUACUUGGAAGUGGAGAAUACCAUUGAUUUAGUCCUAGUAGUUGUAGAACCUAUGGCAGUACACGUGGAGGAGGCGAAGGAGGGGCUGGCCGGUGACAAAGUAAUCGGGGACAAAGGGGAUGGAAUGGGUAUUUAUGAUCAUGUUCAGACUAGUCACAAAGGGAAUUUAGUUGGUACGGGAGGGGAAGUAGAGGAGGUCUCGGUAGUCGGAAACGUGUUCGAAAACGUUGACUUGUUGACCAAUUUAGUGUUCUUAGAAGAAUGCUCUAAGAGUUCAGUGACGGACUAUCAAGAUGUCGAAGUCGAAGAAGUCAAACAUAUCAUUUCCUUAGAUCAUGGGGAUUUCGUAGAAGUGGCCACUGCAACGGACGUUAAGGAGACUGAAGUCUGAGUCCCGGGAAUCAUUGAGGUCAGUGUUCUAGUCUAGGAUUGGGUCGUAGCGGCGAGGGUGGUGGUGGUGGUGGAGGGGGAGGAGGAUAUUUUCGUCGGUGACACAUACUUGUCCUCUGUUCGUCCUUUCUUUUCCAACGUGGUGGAGUCGGAGGUGGGGGCGGUGGAGGUGGUCGUGACGGUGCUCGUGGAAAACUUUUACGAUGUGUUAGCAAAUGAUGCAUACUUUAAAGAAGGGGUGGUCAAGCUAGAAGUGGUGGUGGGGGCGGGGGCGGUGGUGGAGGGAGCAACCAUUCGUCUUUUCUUUGCCAAUGUGGUGGAGUCGGAGGAGGAGGCGGUGGAGGUGGUCGUGACGGUGCUCGUGGAAAACGUUUAAGAUGUGUCAGCAAAUGACGCAUACUUUAAAAAAGGGGCGGUUUCUUUCAAGCUAGAAGUGGUGGUGGUGGUGGCGGUGGUGGGGGGAGUAACCAUUUUAGUAGUAAAAGAGGAGGUGCACGUGGCGGCGGUGGUGGGGGUGGAGGAGGUGAUGGAUUAUUGGUAAAUCAAAGUAGUAGAGUAGACGUCAAACGACUGUUUUUCCAGUCAAGUCGUAGUUUUAUACGCCAAGGUAGUGGAAACUCGGGGUUGGAAAGUGUUUGUUAAGGUUCCGACGUUCGUGGUUGGUAGGGUGGUGGUGGAGGAGGAGGUGGAGCUUCAUCGAGCGACCAAAGAAGUAGAGGUAGGUGUUCACCAUCUGUAAAGUACCGACGGGGAGUAGGAGGGGGUGGAGGGGGUGCUAACGUAUGGUACCGUAGAGUACAUAGCCGCGGUGGACGUGGGGGCAAUAAGCUACGACGGGGAGUAGGAGGGGGUGGAGGGGGCGGUAACGUAUGGUACAGUAGAGCACCCAGUCGUGGUGGACAUGGGGGUAACGGAGGAGGCUUCAAUCGACCCCGGCCGUUACGAAGUGUUUUUGGUAGUCAUUGGGCUGGUGGCGGUGGAGGUGGUCCGGGUGGAGGAUUCUUAAGGAGUUUGAGAAACGGUUCGUUUCCUCGGCAACAGUCACGACGGGGAGGGGGCGGAGGAUGUAAUAGUAAACCACGUUUCCCGGCGUCGCGUCAGGCCAGUUUUUCGGGAUCUCCAAACGCACGGUUGGUCGGUAGGUUCUCCUGUGGAGACUUCGGUAAUGUGACCCAUUUUCACAGUUCUCGUUGUGUCCCUUCGAAUACCCGUCUAUGUGUCUUCCGACUACUUCGUAGAUCCUGAGGCCUCUAACUAGACAGACUCGAACUUUCAGAAAAGAGUCAUAGGUACGGUUCAUGCCUACGUUUUGCCUGUGCGGUUGCAGGAGGACAACGUAGUUUUGUUCUUUUUCAAGUGAACUAACUGGAGGUCGCAAGUUUCUUAACACUUUAAUACGACGCCUUGUAAUUCUACGGUAACGGACUAAACUACCGAAGUCACGAAUGGGAACUACUAAGGUAGCAGCUACCACUAGUUCAUCUAAUAGACUAUUUCAAGACGGGUUGAUUCCUUCUUUACCUUGACGAGUUUCCAAUAUGUCCGUCGAAUCUAUUAGAUCCUUUUACACUCGUCAAGAAGAACCUUUACUACUUUCACGGUUCCCACCUCAGUUUUGACUCUUAGAAUAGGAAAUUCUAUUUCAAAGAAUGUGUCCAACGUCUGCACUUUUUAUUGAACUUAUGGUAAUUACUACAACGACUUCUCCAAUCCUUGAGACUGUUCGAAUUCGCUCACUACGUUUGUUAAGAAAGGAACCCCUUACGUAAUUUGGUUCCUUGACGUUCCCCAAGUCGGCAACCUAAAUCUAAUCUAUCAGAAGAAUUCGAGUAACUAUAUGCCCGUGCUUUGUUAUUCUACUGAGAGUACGUGAUAAACACGUUCCAAGAACGUCCGUUCGAAGGACUUCAAGAACUAAAACAAUUCCUAGAACGCGUAAAUCUUGGGCGGUGUUUCUAGGUUAACUUUCUGAACCGCCUCCUUUACGUUCGCUAUUGAUUCCCUGACCUUUUCCAGCUCGUCCUUGACCGUUGUAGACUUUUUCUACCAGGUCACAGACUCUGCAAAAUGUUCUUUGACUUCCUUAAAGACCGACUACGGGUUCGACUUCCCUCCAGUAAUCGAAGCGAAAUGUCAUGUCGCCCCUUUUCACGCCUGAGAGAUCGUGUAAUAAAACCACUUCUAGGACACGCCACAGGCAAACUCGUUCAACAGAGAUGAGACGACUCGAAACACUUUUGAAAGCUCGCCCGCGUACGGCUCUUAGAGUUCGUCCGCCUCCGCCUCUUCUUCUUUCGGGUCUACCUUCGGCUCUCUCUCUUCCGCUUCCGUCGGCGGCGAGUGUUCUUCCGCCCCAGCGGCCUCGGCCCUCAAAGGUUGGCUACUGGGCAGCAGCUUCGAUCUGUACUGACUAAGGGUGAUUAAAGAAUGGUACUUUCACCUCCGGUCCUUCUGUUUCGAGGCACAUUUUUCCAGUUCUUUUCCUUUUUUUUUCAGUGUCCGUUAUCACGUAUGGUUACACCGUUACACUAUAACUAUCCAUCUGAGACAACUAUAUCGCUGCGCAAAUCGUGUAUCGGCACAUCACGUGACGACGAGUGACAGGUAUCCCUUCAUUUCGAGUAUGUCAAAACAUGACGACGAGUGACAGGUAUCCCUUUCUUCAACCAUCAUGUAUGUCUACAACAUAUAAAACCCCCCAAGAGGGGUACGGCUGUCUGUUUAAAACAUUUACCAAGGAAGGUAUGCACAUUUUGAUACAUGUAAAGGGUACACAGCGACAACAUGCUACACUACAUUGUAACAACCAUGAUUUGAUUCGUCAGUCUUUGUCAGGUAUAAAUGUACUAAUAAAGUACUACACUACUUGUAACAAUAAAUUUCAUUCG